rfam:Camelus ferus unplaced genomic scaffold scaffold955, whole genome shotgun sequence.
GAGGGUAUAGCUCAGUGGUAGAGUGCAUGCCUAGCAUGCACAAGGUCCUGGGUUCAAUCCCCAGUACCUCCA